AAGAGAAAUCGGAAAUAUCUUUUAUCUCAUACUACUCUCUCAAUACAUAAUCGAAUUUUUUGAGAGAAAAAAAAAAAGACAAAAAUUUUGCAUAUCAAAUUCAAAGUGCCGUGCUAUUAUUACUUAAUAUGCGAAGGCAUAGUCUCCUUUUUUCUCUCAAAUAAAAAAAUAAAAAAUAAAACAUAUUGGCGCCAACUGUGAGGGAAUGCUAGACAUUUGGUAAUUUCUCCUCCAACCAAGAUAAAAGAUCCCAUUGAUGCAACGAAUCCCAUGCAUAUUGUAUGGACAUCUGGUCACACAAAUUGUAUAGUAUCGUAAAUAGCUACUCCGGGUAUUACCCAUCUGCUAGGAGAGUUUAUAAACAGAUAUAAAUCUUUGGUAUCAUUCUUGAUACUGAGAUAUACCAUAAAACUAAUAAGUUGAUUCGAGAUCUCGCUAUCAAUUUCUUGUCCUAAAAAAAGUAAUAUUUCUCGAUAAAGUUGGUUGAUUAGGGUAAUGCAUUUAGUUCCUCUGCAAUGAUAUGAUCGAUAAUACUAUCGGAGUGAAACAAGGUAUUUAAAAAAAAAUAAUAAUAAUAAGGCUAGACUAGAUUAGUAACAAUUAAAUCUUAU
rnacentral:lncRNA from 1 species